rnacentral:tRNA from 1 species
GUGCUCGUGGUGGAACGGCAGACACGCCAGCUUGAGGGGCUGGUGCCUGAAAAGGCGUGAGGGUUCGAAUCCCUCCGAGCACACCA